CACACAUGCUAACACACACAUUUUCUCUUUGAGGGGUUGCUCCCUCAGCAACACACAGGCUUCUGUGGACCCAGCAUUGUCUUGGUGGGAGCCAGGCCAGGGCCCCUGGGAGUCCUGGAGGAUGGUAACUGCUGGAGACACAGGGAGACUGGAGGCCAGGACUGGAGCAUGCAUAGGCAGAACAAAUGCUCCAAAAGGAGGCAGUAACCCUCAGGCCAGCUGGGAGACCAGAGGAGACCAAGCAGGUCAGCAGUGGGGAUGUGGGGGAGGGGGUGCUCUUCCCUUCCGCUCCCUCCUCUACUGCCAGAUUGGGCACCAGAAGACAAUGCCAAAGGACACAUUAUAGGGAGCAACUUGCCUUCAAAUCAUAAGCUUUCUCUUUUGUGAUUCUGAAUUCUCCUGAGCACCUGAUUUUUUGAUUGUGGUAAAAUGUGUAUAACAUAAAAUUUGCCAUUUUAAGCAUUUUUAAGUGUACAGUUCAGUGAUGUUAAGUACAUUCAUCCAUGUGCAACCCUCACCACCAUCCAUCUCUAGAACUCUUUUCAUGUUGUGAAAUUGAAACUCUAUACUCAUUAAACAAUAACACCUCAUUCUUCUCUCCCCCAGCCCCUGGCAACCCCUAGUCUACUUUCUGUCUCUGUGAAUUUGAUUAGUCUAGACAUCUCAGAUGAGUGGAAUCAUGUAGUGUUUGUCCUUUUGUUACUGGCUUAUUUCACUAAGGUAACAUCCUCAAGGUUCACCCAUGUUGUAACAUGUGACGGGAUUUUCUUUUUAAUGGCUGAAUAAUAUUCCAUUGUAUGGAAAUGCUACAUUUUCUUUAUUCACUCAUUCAUCCAUGGACACUUUGGCUGCUUCCACCUGCCAGCUAUUUUGGAUAAUGCUGCUGUGAACAUGAGUGUGUGGAUAUAUGCUCAAUUCUAAACCUCUGAUUUUGCACCUUUGGUAAUGAAGCAAUCCCAAGAGAGGAUUGAAGAAGCUUAAGGGUAGGAGCCCUGAUCAGGCAGCUCUCUACUCUGCCCAUGAGUCUCUAAAGGAUCCUCCAGGUAUAUGAGCCUGUCCCUAGGGGCCUGACCAACUUCUUGGUUAAUAAGAAAAAUUUUGCCAAGACUGCAGAUGACUGCAGAAGCAACAGCUCAACUCAGCAUGUCCCUGCCAGCUUUUUGAUGCUAAAAUCCUUCAGCCUUGGGACCCAGCAUGGUCUCCAUGGUGAGGACUCAGUGGCAGAUGCUACUCACUGCCCUUUGGAGAGACACUGUGGUAAUAGACACUUGCCUUAAUGUAGGAAAGUCUCAUCUCUGUCCUGCCUGACUUGGAGCAAGACCUAGAGUGGAGGGCACCAGGGGCGGAAAAGGGAUGAAAGGUCUUGACUUUCAACGCUGCUUGGGAAAAUGCAUUUUCUCUGCUUCAAUUGAGGGGACAAAAAUUAAAGUUCAGUGCUUGUUAAGGAAGAAGACUAUGGUAAAUAUCCCAGGAUUUCAGGUGAAACCAUGACAGGCCACAUCUUAGGAGUCAAAGUGAACUGGAAAUAGACCAUUUGAAGAAGCCUAGAUUUUAAUCUUUGAACUGAAAGAAAAUAAUGAACAAUCUCAAAUUCUAUAGACAGUAAAAGUACUCCUCAAAAAUGAAAGCAAAAUAAAGACAUUUUCAGAACAUCAAAAAAGAAAAAAAAAACUCAAAAAUUUAAAAGAUGAAAAUGGUUCAGAGUAUGUUCUUUGUUCACAGUAAACAACUAUAAUAAAAAUAGUUAAAAUAAUU
ensembl:lncRNA